GACAGAGGGUGCAAACGUUGUUCGGAAUUACUGGGCGUAAAGCGCGUGUAGGCGGUCAUGCAAGUCGGGUGUGAAAGCCCAGGGCUCAACCCUGGAAGUGCAUUCGAUACUGCGUGACUCGAGUCCCGGAGAGGAUGGUGGAACUCUCGGUGUAGAGGUGAAAUUCGUAGAUAUCGAGAAGAACACCGGUGGCGAAGGCGGCAUCCUGGACCGACAUUGACGCUGAGGCGCGGAAAGCCAGGGGAGCAAACGGG
rnacentral:rRNA from 1 species